UAUAUGAUUCCUGUUCUGCAUUGACUGAUUUGGCAGGUUACCAGAACCAUUCAUUUCCUUCAUCUGUCCACUCCUCCGCUACCGCCAUUGACUGCCGUAGAACUUAGCUCCAGAGAACGGCUUUCCAUCAGAUCUGCUAGCGGGAAGGAAUUGUGAAAGCAAAAAUUGCACAGACAAGGAGGAUUAUUGAAGGCCAUUGCAAUAGAGGAAAGAGACCCGAGCUCAGUCUGAACUCAACUCCACUGA